GGGGGCGCACUGGUUUCGACGGGGACGUGGAAGCCGAAGUCGCAGGCCGAGGCGCCGCUGGCCUCGUAAAAAGCGGCAACAAAAGUAAUUGCCAACGAAAACGAUUACGCCUACGCCUACGCUGCCUAGUCAGCGUCUGGUACCGACUGUUUUUUAACGGUCAGGUCGUCACGGGUGACGCCCAAUAACCUGUGUCGGCCUCAUCUAUUGGGCUGGCAGGAGCAGGUGCCAACCGGUGCUUCUGCGAGGAUUCUACGGCUGGCUGGUCUUUAUGGCGCCUGACUGGUGGCAACCAUAGGGGCAAGAUUUAAUAUCAGUCUAAGCCUGUAGAAGCUUUGCGUGGAACUUUCUCGGACGGGAGUUCGACUCUCCCCGCCUCCACCA
rnacentral:tmRNA from 1 species